CCUACGGGGUGCAGCAGUGAGGAAUAUUGGUCAAUGGACGAGAGUCUGAACCAGCCAAGUAGCGUGAAGGAUGACUGCCCUAUGGGUUGUAAACUUCUUUUAUAUGGGAAUAAAAUGUUCCACGUGUGGGCUUUUGUAUGUACCAUAUGAAAAAGCAUCGGCUAACUCCGUGCCAGCAGACGCGGUAAUACGGGGGAUACGAGCGUUAUCCGGAUUUAUUGGGUUUACAGGGUGCGUCGGGGGAUCGUUAAGUCAGUGGUCAAAUUGAGGGGCUAAACCCCUUACCGCAAUUGAAACUGGCGCGCUGGAGUGGAAGAGAAGUAUGCGGAAUGCGGGGUGUAGCGGUGAAAUGCAUAGAGAUCACGCAGAACCCCGAUGGCGAAGGCAGCACGCCGGCUUCCGACUGACGCUGAAGCACGAAAGCGUGGGGAUCGAACAGGAUUAGAUACCCUAGUAGUC
rnacentral:rRNA from 1 species